UCCUGGCAUUUGAAGAAAUGGCAAGUACAGCCUUUGCAAUAUUUUAAUUUUAAUAAAAUGUGGCUUUGAAGCUGCUUCAAGGUGUGGAGUGUUUAAAACAAGCCCUUGGGGUGGAGGUGGAGAGAAGAGCAGGCAGGGCAGGCUUUCCCUUAUUGCCAUUUCUGUAACAAUUCUAAAGAGAUGCAGGUUUGAACACUUCAAUCUAUUCCUACAGACUCCUAAUUUUAGAUUCCAAAUGGAAAAACCUUCAACAAACAGCCCUUGGAAGUCAUUAAAUUACCCACUGCUGCAAUAUCACACAGCCUCGUGCUUUCACCCAAUUAUUCCUACUUGGAAGAGUUUUCCUUGUGUUUUCAGGCUGAGAUGUUUUUGCAGCAUCAGAAAUCCUGGGUCUGUGUCAGUGUUUUGCUGUCCUGCCUCUGAUUUCCUGAUCUUUUCAGCAAUUCACAGUUUUUCUUCCAGCACAUCAGCAAAAAGAGUGAUCCACCCUGCUCCACCAAGGGCAUCAUGUUGGAACACCCAAAUAAAAGUACAUCAGCAAGGAGACCAAUUUACUGCCCUGCCACCAAGGUCAGCAUGCUGGAAUACCCAAAAUAAAAUGUUGGUGUUCAAAUAUU